UAGCAGCUAACAGGCUACCGGCUUAUUCACCAGGAACUACUCAAAGGCUUCAUAUCAAGCGAAAGGCCGUAUUUUUCUGACGCAGAAAUAACGCAACCAGCGACCUGGAUCAAUCUCAUUACCAGUGUUCCUGCAAACUGAUGGCUGAGAGAGCAGGAAGGAGAGUGACUUUGAAUACAACAGCUGUGCCCUCCUCAGACAAAGAUCUCAUUAAGGCCUGCUGCUGCCACUGCUGCUGUUUUCGCUCCAUAAUGGAGAUCUUCCACCAGCAUCAUUGUUUCAUUUGUUCUGGGACUUCUCAUAAAACCCCCACAAAACGCUGACACGGCCGAUCGGCCUGGGUGGCUGACGGCAAAAUGCUGAGUCAGCCUGGACCGCACCAUCCUCCCCAGCAGAGAUGCUUGGAGUGGAGCCUCAUCAAUAAUGAAACGUUCCCUUAGCCGAGAGCCACAGCCGGGGCUCAGGUCUCUGCAUCAUGAAGCUUCUAAAGAGUAUCUCAUCGUUCUCUGCUGUAUUCAGGCUCCAGAAUCGAUGUGGCAUGGCUAAGCUUUUCUAUCAGUCCAAUGUCGGUGGGAUUCAUGUGGUCUAUAACUGAAGGAUGAUGCAAAACGCACUGGUAAUCGAGAUACCAGGGGGCAUUUUGGGAUUGGAAUAAUUAUUCAAAGCCAUAAUAUUGCUCCAGCUGAAUAAAAAAAAAAGCAAAAUGAGGUGGUUUCCCUAGGCUUAAUGCAGCCUAAUUUCCUCACACGUUUGUUGUUGGCCUACUUAAACAUGGGUGUUUCUGUUUGUGUGUGCUCUAAACGCAGUAAGUAGCAUUAAAUUACAGAGAGCAAGAGAGACAGUGAGAUGCCCUACAAACCCUCAAAAAUCAAAGCCCGGUUUACUGUAACCACAUCAACAUUAAAGGUCCAAGGCGUACAUUUUUUGGAGGAUCUAUUAACAGAAAUGCAAUAUAAUAUACAUAACUAUGUCCUCAAAGGUGUAUAAAGACCUUACACAAUGAAGCUUUAUGUUUUUAUUAUCUUAGAAUGAGCUAUUUCUAUCUACAUAGUACAUACACCAUGGGUCCCCUUGCAUGAAAUUUGCCAUGUUGUUUCUACAGUAGCCUUAAACGGACAAACUGCUCUACCGAACGCUUUUCGUAAAUACGUUAUCUCCUUCGACAAAGAAGCGAAAAUGUGACGACAUCUUAGUCCUGCGUCAGCCACCGUAGUGCUUCAAAAGAGAGGGGUGGUGGUGGAGUGAUCCGUUGGAUGCAAUUCGUAACCUCACCGCUAGAUGCAGCUAAAUUUCAUACACCGGACCUUUAGAAGAAGCAUAUUUCUUAAAAUAUUAAGAUUAGCCGUCAACCUUCAUACAGUUUUCUGUGGUUUAUUUCUAAAUGUGUUCUCCUCCCAAAUAUGAACCAUUUCGGUUUGCCAUUUAGACCGCACUGUAAGCAAGCUUUAAUAAUCUUUUUUUAUUUAUUUCCCAUUCCAAUAUUAUAAAUGUCCACAACAUUCCCUUUAUAUGGUGCGUGAUGUUAAAAUACUUCAUCUUAUCACAAUGUAUUUUUCAUACCCCUGUUUCGAUAUAUUGAUUAUGCGUGACCUUUUUAUUGUCAUUGUGUGGCUUUGGUAAAAAGGGAUUGAUUUUCCACCCAGCUAUGUCCAUAGACCUCGGUUCGUAGGGUUCACAACAAGGGCACUUAAUGGUUGGACUGUUUUAGGACAUAGGUCAUGGAUUAGCUUUAGGAGUGCAUUCAGUGCUACUAUUCAAUUUCUGUUACUUUUGUUACUGGUACAUUACAUUAACCUUAAAUUCCUUUUAUCAUUCAUUCAUUUUUUGCAUAGUUUUUGUGUAUUGUAUUGCAGAAUGAACUUUGUCUGAGAUAGUUUGAGUUGUUGUUGUUUUUUCAUUGCACAACAGUGAUAUUCAGGCUGCUAUGGGGUUUAGUGUAAUUUUAUGCUCUAGUUAUGCCUUUUAUCAUUCUACUUUUAGUAUGGAGUUUCAGAAAGUACCCAUGAAAGUACCAACAAAACUCAUAAAAUAGGAGUUCACCUUCAGAGACAUGUGUACUUUGUUGAAAAGUAAGUUUAUGUUGCCCAGAUAACAUCACAAAAUGUUUGUGAUGUAUAUUCAUACCCUGACUUUUUAAAUGAUAUCUGUCUGUAUAAGGUAUUUCAAAGUGCUGUUAACAUGAUGCUUUUAGCUACAUACUGUAUAUUAUUCACACAGGAUGGUGAUUUACAUGUAAACAUACCCUUUAAUAUUAAAUAGGGAUGUACCCAUACCAUUUUUUAAAGACUGAGUACGAGUACCGAUAUUUGUUUUCUGGUGCUCGUCGAUAUCGAUGCCCAAUACCGAUGCCUGUACCUUUUCACAACACAGUUAGACUAAUAAAAAUAGAAUAAUUACACACAACUUACACACAUUAUGAAAAAAAAAAAAAAUUAUGUGCUUUUCACAAACU